AACGAACGCUGGCGGCAUGCCUAACACAUGCAAGUCGAACGAGACCUUCCGGUCUAGUGGCGCACGGGUGCGUAACGCGUGGGAACCCGCCGUUAGGUUCGGAAUAACUCCCCGAAAGGCAUGGUAAUAUCGGAUAAUGUCUCCGGACAAAAGAUUUAUCACCCUUGGAUGGGCCCGCGUUGGCUUAGCUUGUUGGUAGGGUAAAAGCCUACCAAGGCGACGAUCGAUAGCUGGUCUGAGAGGAUGAUCAGCCACACUGGGACUGAGACACGGCCCAGACUCCUACGGGAGGCAGCAGUGGGGAAUAUUGGACAAUGGGCGAAAGCCUGAUCCAGCAAUGCCGCGUGAGUGAUGAAGUCCUUAGGGUUGUAAAGCUCGUUUACCCGGGAUGAUAAUGACAGUACCGGGAGAAUAAGCUCCGGCUAACUCCGUG
rnacentral:rRNA from 1 species